UGGCUCAAUGGUAGAGCACUUGCCUUGCAUGCAUGAGGCCCUGGGUUCGAUUCCUCG
rnacentral:tRNA from 1 species